GGAAAGGUGCUCGAGUGGUUGAAGAGGCACGCCUGGAAAGCGUGUAUACGUCAAAAGCGUAUCGGGGGUUCGAAUCCCCCUCUUUCCG
rnacentral:tRNA from 1 species